CGCGCAGGCGGUCCUGUCAGUUGCGUGUGAAAGCCCCGGGCUCAACCUGGGAAUGGCGCGCAGGACGGCGGGACUGGAGGUCGGGAGAGGAGCGUGGAAUUCCCAGUGUAGAGGUGAAAUUCGUAGAUAUUGGGAAGAACACCGGUGGCGAAGGCGGCGCUCUGGACCGAUCCUGACGCUGAGGCGCGAAAGCGUGGGGAGCAAACAGGAUUAGAUACCCUGGUAGUCCACGCUGUAAACGAUGUGUGCUAGACGUUGGGGAGCCUAGCUCUUCGGUGUCGCAGCCAACGCGGUAAGCACACCGCCUGGGGAGUACGGCCGCAAGGUUAAG
rnacentral:rRNA from 1 species